GGACUCUUAGCUCAGUUGGUUUAGAGCGCUACCUUGACACGGUAGAGGUCAGAGGUUCGAAUCCUCUAGAGUCCA
rnacentral:tRNA from 1 species